GAAUUGCAUUUGUGACUGCACGGCUAGAGUGUGUCAGAGGGGGGUAGAAUUCCACGUGUAGCAGUGAAAUGCGUAGAGAUGUGGAGGAAUACCGAUGGCGAAGGCAGCCCCCUGGGAUAACACUGACGCUGAGGCACGAAAGCGUGGGGAGCAAACAGGAUUAGAUACCCUGGUAGUCCACGCCCUAAACGAUGUCUACUAGUUGUCGGGUCUUAAUUGACUUGG
rnacentral:rRNA from 1 species